rnacentral:tRNA from 1 species
UUUAAAAAUUAAGAAAUAUCUAUAAACUCCAAAUUUAUUAUUUUUUUUAAACUAAAUUUUGAGG